rnacentral:tRNA from 1 species
GUCAGGAUGGCCGAGUGGUCUAAGGCGCCAGACUCAAGUUCUGGUCUCCGAAUGGAGGCGUGGGUUCGAAUCCCACUGCGUGGGUUCGAAUCCCACUUCUGACA